CCUACGGGAGGCAGCAGUGGGGAAUAUUGCACAAUGGGCGAAAGCCUGAUGCAGCGACGCCGCGUGAACGAUGAAGGCUUUCGAGUCGUAAAGUUCUGUUCUUGGGGAAGAUAACGACGGUACCCAAGGAGAAAGCACCGGCUAAAUACGUGCCAGCAGCCGCGGUAAUACGUAUGGUGCAAGCGUUGUCCGGAAUUACUGGGCGUAAAGAGUUCGUAGGCGGUUGGAUUAGUCAGAAGUGAAAGGCUACGGCUCAACCGUAGUAAGCUUUUGAAACUGUCUAACUUGAGUACUGGAGAGGAAAGCGGAAUUCCUAGUGUAGCGGUGAAAUGCGUAGAUAUUAGGAAGAACACCAGUGGCGAAGGCGGCUUUCUGGACAGUAACUGACGCUGAGGAACGAAAGCGUGGGGAGCGAACAGGAUUAGAUACCCUGGUAGUCCACGCCGUAAACGAUGAGAACUAGGUGUUGGGGGUCGAACCUCAGUGCCGCAGCUAACGCAGUAAGUUCUCCGCCUGGGGAGUACGAUCGCAAGAUUGAAACUCAAAUGAAUUGACGGA
rnacentral:rRNA from 1 species